UCGUGAAAUCUGAUCAUUUUCGAAAGGAUGGAACAGAAAGCUUUUCUGUGUUUCUGAUCUUAACCAGUCAAUAACUUGUAUAAAUGAGCGUUUGUGUUUUGUGAUUCAGUCAAAAUACAGGUCAUUGUGCAUUUUAUGGCGGAUGUUAAUCAACUAUAAACAAAACAAGAUGAACAAAUGAUUGCAGGAUUCCAGUUUGCACUAUUGUUGGUGCGCUACAGUCGUUAUGUGCUGACAGACAGGUUACGUUUCAAACACUAAACAUACAAAUCAUCUUCCUAAUAAUUGAAGUUUGCAUGAAUUAAAUGUAAAUGAUUUUCAUCCUGAAAUGUUUAUGAAAUAGACGAUCAAGUGCGGUAGCACUGUUUCUCGGUGCCUGCAUGGCACCGAAUUAAUACAUGUACGUGACGUCAAUAUUGCCUUUGUUUUAACGGAAAUGUGCAGUGAUAUUUCAUGUUAGAAUUUCGUUUAUCAUCGGUCACGAAUUCAUUGUUUCAAAUUAAAAGUAAACCACUA